UACGGGGGGGAGCAAGCGUUGUUCGGAUUUACUGGGCGUAAAGGGCGCGUAGGCGGCCACCGCAAGUCGGUUGUGAAAUCUCCGGGCUUAACCCCGGAAAGGUCAAUCGAUACUGCGGGGCUAGAGUGCAGAAGGGGCAACUGGAAUUCUCGGUGUAGCGGUGAAAUGCGUAGAUAUUGGGAGGAACACCAGUGGCGAAGGCGGCUCACUGGACCGGAACUGACGCUGAGGCGCGAAAGCGUGGGGAGCAAACAGG
rnacentral:rRNA from 1 species